rnacentral:lncRNA from 1 species
GGCAGAUUAUUGCAAAAGGGCACGGGGCAGAGGGACUAUGUUGUGAGCCUGCGAAAGAAGUUUGUGUGGGGACUGUGGGCAGUGAACGCGUUGGGAACAAUAUGGAAAACUGGGAGCCGCCUUGGAAUCUACAGGGCCGGAGAGACCGAGGGGCUCACUAGGUUGACCAGGCUGGUCUUGAACUCCUGGCCUCAAGCCAUCCUCCCACCUCAGCCUCCCAAAGUGCUGGGAUUACAUGCAUGAGCCACCACAUCCAGCCUACCUAAAAUAUUGAAUGCUGUUAAUAAAUCUCCUGAGGCCAGCAUAAGAAGGUGAUGGGCAAAACUAAUGCAGGGUUUCAGUUGUGCAAUUUCACCAUUAGCAAAGCUUUUUGCUGAAAUCUGGCUUUUCAAAGGGAGAGUAUCCAGAAACAGAAGAUGCUGCUCUGAGAGGCUCUUCCUAAUAGAACUGCUGCUUCAGUUUAGCUUGAAAAAGCCCACACCCAGUUCCUAAUGACAAACAUCUGAACACCGGGUCUUCCCACGAGCAAGACCAUGCUAUGCCUCCUGCUCGCUCUGUUCUAUAAGCAACCCACAGAUUGCUCCCUGUGAAGAGGAGCCUGCCAGGGGAGCAGCAUUCCACCAGACCCUGAUUUAGCAAGAUAUUUCCGUAUCAUUCCCCCAACCAGCUGGAAGUCCUCCACUGCUCUUGUGUAAAAAUCUAACUCAUCUCGCUGAAUUUCCUGAUUUAAAAGUCUAAUUCAUUUCACCAAAAGUGUGACAGAAGGAAACCAAGUACACCAUCUCUCUCUUACCAAACCGAAGCUAUUGCAUGUGCAUUCUGGGGGAAAAAAUGGUCCAAAUAUGUUAUGGAGGGGGUGCCAGCCCAGUGUCAUCCUCUUACUAUUGCCAUAGGAUCUUGGCUGAUGGCAUCAGAGGAAAAACAAGUUUAUCGAUUACUUUCAACCAUUAAGCUCACUCCUCCAUGAAAAAUAAGUCACAAGUCCAAUGUCUCUUAUUAAAAUAAGCACUGCAAAAUACAAAGGAGUCACAGUUUUAAAAUGGGACACACGUUCUCUAAGCGGUGAACCACGUUAGAGGUGCACUGUUUACAUUGUAUAAAGUCCCCUGGAGCCAGGGUUAGGAAGCGCAUCUGUUCUUUGGUGUUCUGGGAUGAAGGAGAAAGGAAAAUGUGCUGCCAGAAGUGAGUGGGAAGGAGCCCAUGAGAUAAAGGAAGUAAAUCCAUUUGCUGAUUGCAAUAAUAAUGGUAAUACACGAAGCUAUACAUACAUACAUACAUACAUACAUGCAUGCAUGCAUGCAAAUUUUCACAUUUUUUAAAAAAAAGAA